CUGUUUUAUGCAGUGUCCACACAGAUUGCUUGGUCGAAAUGUAGAACGUAAAAAGACUUGGGUCUGUAGCUCAGGUGGUUAGAGCGCACCCCUGAUAAGGGUGAGGUCGGUGGUUCGAGUCCACUCAGACCCACCACUUUUUCUCCCAGAAAAAGUGGCGGUAUAGUCUUUUACAUCGUUGGGGUUAUAGCUCAGCUGGGAGAGCGCCUGCCUUGCACGCAGGAGGUCUGCGGUUCGAUCCCGCAUAGCUCCACCACUCUUUAAACGCACUUCUCUUGAAAGACAGAGAGUUCAGUGUUUUUAAAAAGUGGUUAUCUAACGAUGAUUACAUGUUCUUUAACAAUCUGGAAAGCUGACUAGUAAAUUCAAUCGAAAGAUUGAUUUUAAAAAAUGUUUUUAUCUUCGGAUAAAAACGAGUUCUCAAAACAACACACAUUCAAGUGUCUUGUAUCGAGUCCGGCGAAAAACCAAUGUUUAAAAGUUUCUUGAUCGGAUUAUUAAACGCAAACCUUGGUUAGUUGAACAUACAGGACCUCUUGGGGUUGUAU
rnacentral:misc_RNA from 1 species